rnacentral:lncRNA from 1 species
AUUUUGCAAAAUUAAUUCUACACAUAAUUAAAAUCCACCUCCUCGUGGGAUCGACACUCGUCACCAUUGAUCUAUACUACAAUAGAUUCGUGCGCUUGCGAGUACAUUAAAAUUUGCACAACAAGUUUUUGGCGCCGUUGCCGGGGAGGUAAGUAAUUUUAAUUCAUAGAUUUAAUUUUUGUGAAUAAUUUCAUUUAAUUGUUUUCUUGUAUUUUUUUUUGUUCUUUAAAAAUAAAAAAUAAAAAAGAAAUAAAAAAGUUAAUCUACAUUUAAAGGUUAGUAUUUCUUUUCUUUUUCUCUUCUUUAAAAUUCUGUAAUUUAAUUUUCAAUUUAUUUUUUCUUUGUAAUUUUUGUUUAUCUUAUUAAUUUAAUUUUUAGUUAAUUUAUUUCACGUAUUUAUUUUUGUGUAUUUUUAUAGUAAGGUUGUAAUAGCGCAAUAAGGUUAGUAUCGUAAUUUCUCCCUCUUAUUUAUUUUUAUUUGUUUUGUUCCCAUCUUUAUUUUUAUUUUUAUUUUGCAUGCAUGGUCGUAGGUCAUUAUUACCUAAUCUUGAACCUAUAGACCUUGAAUUAGAAAAAACACUUCGCACACAAAAGCACAUUAAAAAUAAAUUUGGAAUGGAUUUACAAGCACCACAGGAGAGGCCAUUUAAGGACUAUUUUAGUCCCUUAGCUAAUUUGAGCACAUCAUGCAUAAGAUACCCAAAUGUAGCUGCUAGGAGUUUUGAAUUAAAACCUAGUGUGCUAAAUUGUCUCCCCACAUUUUAUGGCUUAGAAAAUGAGGACCCAUAUAAUCAUCUGAAUGAUUUUCAUGCCAUUUGUCAAACUUUUAAAUAUGAAAAUUUUUCAGACGAUGAUGUUAAACUUAGAUUAUUCUCAUUUUCUUUAAAGGAUAGAGCUCGUUCAUGGUUAAAUACUUUGCCUGCUAAUAGCAUUGCAUCAUGGGAACAAAUGGUUACAAAAUUUCUAAAUAAAUAUUUCCCAGUGCAUAAAACCAAUUCUAUUCGCAGGGAAAUUUCAGAGUUUGCACAAAGAGAGGACGAGCAGUUUUUCGAAACGUGGGAGCGAUUCAAUGGGCUACUCUUGAAGUGUCCACAUCAUGGGUACGAAAAAUGACACCAAUGCCAAUACUUUUUGGAGGGAUUAUUGCCGAAUGUGCAAGAAUGGCUAAUGGCAACAAGUGGAGGAGAGCUAAUGUCAAAAAGCGCAACAGAGAUUUGGGAAUUCUUCCAGCGACAAGCGGAUAAUUCCCAACAACGGAGUCGAUCACUCAGGAAUACUAGAAGAAUUAAGGGAGUAAAUGAGGUUCAAAUUGACGAGUCAACUUCGGGAAUCAAAGAAGUCAAGGAGAUGGUUGAAGGUCUUGCUCGACAAAUAGCAUCGUUAUCGACUGCUAAAUCAACAGAACCACAUGACCAUGACUCAUACUUCGAUCAAGCCAAUGCCAUAGGUGUAAUGAGAAAGCCAUCUAAUUACAACCCAUACUCCAACACAUAUAACCCUAGAUGGAGAGACCACCCCAAUUUUUCAUGGUCUCAAGGAUUCCAACAGAAUGGACCAGCAGCUCCAGCUCCACAAAUUCCUCAAGUUCCUCAAGCCUCUCAGCCCCCAUUUAGACCAUUCAAUCAGAACCAGAACUACUCUCAACCCAGACCAUGGGAGGAUUCAUUCCAGAAUUUCAAGAAUGCUACUCACUCUACGAUUGAGCAACAGAACCGCACCAUUGAUGGACUACGAAAUGAGUUGAGAGCAGGCUUCAACUCACAAGCUCAAUCAGUUUCAAGCCUCGAGAAGAUGGUGGGACAACUUGCUUCUUCAGUUCAGACCUUGGCAAUGACUGUUGAGAAAGGAAAAUUUCCAAGUCAACCAGUGCCUAAUCCUAAAGGGGUACAUGAAGCAAGUACCAGUUCACCACAGCAGCAUGGAGAGGUCAAAGCAAUCAUGACCUUGCGAAAAGGAAAGGAAGUCGACAACAAAGUGGAGAUGCCGGUGACCAAAGAAAAUCAAAUUGUACCUGUGAAUGUUGAGGACUCACCACCGGAGGAGAAAGAAGAAACCAACCCACGAGAAUACAUUCCGAAAGCUCCAUUUCCUCAGAGGUUAGCGAAAGGAAAAAAGGGAAAAUCCACAGGUGAGAUUCUUGAAAUCUUCAAACAGGUAAGUGUUAACAUCCCUUUGCUUGAUGCUAUUAAACAAGUUACAUCUUAUGCCAAGUUUCUUAAAGACCUUUGUACUAAAAAGAGAAAUAUGCAUGUUCAAAAGAAGGCAUUUUUAACAGAAAACGUUAGUUCUAUACUCCAACAUAAAAUUCCUUUAAAAUGCAAAGUCCCAGGCUCCCCCACUAUCUCAUGUAGUAUAGGGAACCACACAAUUGAGAAUGCUUUGUUGGAUUUAGGAGCUAGUGUAAAUCUAUUGCCUUACUCAGUAUUUUUGAAACUUGGACUGGGAGAAUUACACCCAACUCCAGUGGUGUUACAGCUUGCAGAUCGGUCCACGAAAAUACCUCGUGGUAUUGUGGAGGACGUGCUUAUCCAGGUAGACAAGUUUUAUUUUCCUGUUGAUUUCAUUGUAAUUGACACUCAACCAAUACAGGACUCAAGGAAGCACAUCUCCAUUAUUCUAGGCCGACCUUUCUUGGCAACUGCAGAUGCUCAUAUUCAAUGUAGGACCGAAAAUAUGCAAUUGUCCUUCGGCAACAUGACUAUGGAGCUAAACAUCUUCAACAUUGCCAAACAACCUCACAGUGCAGAUGAUGGAAUUGUUGAUGUGGAUUUAAUAGAAACAAUAGUUGAUAACACUUUUGUUUCAAACCUUAGUGAUGAUCCUUUACAAACAUGUUUAACUCACUUUGGUUUGGAUUUUGAUAUUGACAGAUCGGUUGAUGAGGUCAACGCCCUGCUUAACUCAGCACCAUACAUGGACACUAAUAAAUGGAAGUCAAGAGUUGAGCAACUAGCACCAUUAGAGAAGAAACUCAUCCCAUCAUCAGAAUCACCACCGAAACUCGAGCUCAAACCAUUACCCAACACUUUGGAAUAUGCAUUUUUGGGAGAAGAAAGCACUCUGCCGGUAAUCAUCUCAUCAUCCCUAAAUGACGAACAAAAAGGUAAGUUGUUGGAUGUUUUAAAAGAGCACAAAGGAGCAUUAGGAUGGACCAUAGCAGACAUCAAAGGUAUAAAUCCAGUAGACUGCAUGCAUUACAUUCACCUUGAUGAAAAUGCUAAAUCUACUAGGGAAAUGCAACGUCGGUUAAAUCCUAAUAUGAAAGAAGUUGUUAGAACAGAAGUCCUUAAGCUAUUAGACGCAUGUAUCAUUUACCCAAUUUCUGAUAGUUCACGGGUCAGUCCUGUACAAGUUGUCCCCAAAAAGUCAGGAGUCACAGUAGUUACCAAUGCUGAUAAUGAAUUGAUACCAACUAGAGUAACUACAGGAUGGCGUGUAUGCAUUGAUUAUAGAAAGUUGAAUUCUGUCACACGUAAAGACCAUUUUCCUUUACCAUUUAUUGAUCAAAUGCUUGAUAGAUUAGCAGGCCAUGAAUUUUAUUGCUUUCUAGAUGGUUACUCAGGAUAUAAUCAAAUUCCCAUAGCACCAAAAGAUCAAGAGAAAACUACUUUCACUUGCCCUUUUGGCACUUUUACAUAUAGGAGAAUGCCAUUUGGAUUAUGUAAUGCACCUGCUACGUUUCAACGAUGCAUGUUGAGCAUUUUCUCUGAUAUGGUUGAACGAUUCCUUGAAGUCUUUAUGGAUGAUUUUUCUGUCUUUGGUGACUCGUUUGAUCAAUGUUUACAUCAUUUAACGCUAGUUUUGCAGAGAUGUACCGAGAAGAACUUAGUCUUGAAUUGGGAGAAGUGUCAUUUUAUGGUAAAACAAGGUAUUGUUCUCGGUCACAUCAUUUCAAGCAAAGGUAUUGAGGUUGACAAAGCCAAGGUGGAUCUCAUUUCUAAUCUUCCUCCACCCAAAACAGUCAGAGAAGUAAGAUCUUUCCUUGGACAUGCUAGUUUCUAUAGACGUUUCAUUAAAGAUUUUAGCAAAGUUUCUAGACCCUUAUGCAAUCUACUUGCUAAGGAUGUACCUUUUAUCUUUAAUGAUUCAUGUCUUGUGGCAUUUGAAAAAUUAAAGCAGUUGUUGACAUCAUCACCCAUCAUUCAGGCCCCAAACUGGAGCUUACCAUUUGAGCUCAUGUGUGAUGCAUCUGAUUAUGCAGUAGGAGCAGUAUUAGGACAAAGAGUUGAUCGAAUUCCCCAUGUUAUUUACUAUGCUAGUAUGACAUUGAAUGAUGCACAGUUGAACUAUUCAACUACUGAAAAAGAAAUGCUAGCAGUAGUGUUUGCAUUGGAAAAAUUUCGAUCUUAUCUCAUUGGUUGUAAAAUAAUUAUAUUCACAGAUCAUGCUGCUCUUAAAUAUCUUCUCACAAAGAAAGAUGCAAAAGCUAGACUAAUUCGUUGGGUGUUACUUUUGCAGGAAUUCGACUUGGAAUUCAAGGAUAAGAAAGGCACAGAAAAUGUUGUGGCGGACCACCUCUCUCGUCUCCAUUUUGACACAAUUACAGAGCCAUUAAUAUUAAAUGAGUCAUUUCCAGAUGAACAAUUAAUGAGUGUGGAAGUAUUACCUUGGUAUGCUGAUAUAGUUAAUUAUCUUGUUACAGGUAAGCUUCCAGAGCAUUGGACCAAGCAAGACAAGGCUAAAUUCUUUGCGGAAAUAAAGAAUUUCUUUUGGGAUGACCCGUAUUUGUUCAAGUAUUGUGCAGACCAAAUUGUUAGACGAUGUGUCCCAGAAAAUGAAAUUCAGAAUAUUCUUUCAUUCUGCCAUGAACAAGCUUGUGGAGGCCAUUUCAGUGCUAAGAAAACAGCGACUAAAGUUUUACAAUGUGGUUUCUAUUGGCCAACUAUAUUUCGAGAUGCUUACACUUUCUGUUCUUCAUGUGAUAGGUGUCAACGAAUGGGGAGCAUUACACGAAGAAACAUGAUGCCACUAAAUCCAAUUUUAGUGGUUGAGAUUUUUGACGUAUGGGGUAUCGACUUCAUGGGACCCUUUCCCCCUUCUUUUGGCCAUCAAUACAUAUUGGUUGGUGUUGACUACGUCUCGAAAUGGGUAGAAGCAAUUCCAUGUAGGACCAAUGAUCACAAAGUGGUGAUAGGAUUUUUGAAAAGCAACAUUGUUUCACGCUUUGGAUUCCCUCGAGCGAUAAUCAGUGAUGGUGGUGCCCACUUUUGUAACAAAGCAUUCAAAGCUCUUUUGACAAAGUAUUCAAUCACACACAAAGUGGCGACCCCGUAUCAUCCGCAAACCAGUGGCCAAGUUGAGAUCUCCAAUCGAGAAAUCAAGCACAUAUUAGAAAAAACGGUGAGGCCAGACAGAAAAGAUUGGUCAUUAAGACUUGAUGAUGCAUUAUGGGCAUAUAGAACGGCUUUCAAGACCCCGAUUGGGAUGUCACCCUACAGGCUAGUGUAUGGAAAAGCUUGCCACCUACCUGUGGAACUCGAGCAUCGUGCAUAUUGGGCCAUCAAGAAAUUCAACUUUGACAUGCAGCAAGCCAGCUCAGAAAGAAGAUUACAACUGGCAGAACUUGAAGAAAUUCGCAAUGAUGCAUAUGAAAAUGCCAAAAUUUACAAGCAGCGGAUGAAAGUCUUCCACGACAAGCACGUUAUGAGAAAAUCUUUCACUCCAGGUCAGAAAGUACUUUUAUUCAAUUCUCGCUUGCACCUAUUCCCAGGUAAGUUACGCUCUCGAUGGUCUGGUCCCUUUAUUGUUCAUACUGUUUUUCCACAUGGGGCAAUUGAAAUUAAAGACCCAAAGAACGGUGUCACGUUUAAAGUUAAUGGUCAAAGAUUAAAGCCAUAUCUAGAGUACCAACCACAUGGAGAAGACACCGAAAUAAAUUUGAGUGACCCACCAGAUUUGAAUUGAUUUUUUCUUUUCGUUGAUUUGAUUUUGUUUUCUUUCUUUAUAUUAUUCUUUUGCUAAUUGAAAUUAUUUUUGUAUAAGUGUGUUUGUUUAACUAUUAAGUUUUCUCUUAUCAUUUUUAAUCAUGAGUAUCUUACUUAGACCGUUCCUCCUGAACAUUCUUAAACCACUUCAACGUGUCAAAACUCAUCUCAAAAGGCAGAUUCUAUUUUGUAAAACACAACGCAUUUGGGCUCUACAACCACCAGAGUUAGUAGCCUAUGUUGAGGGUUUAGAACGCCAACUCAGAGACAUUGAGAGAAGUGUUUACGACAUCCAGUUGGAGCUUGAGGUAAAUUCAAUAAGAGGACGAUUUUAAUUUUCUUUGUGUGUUUUGAUUUGUUUUUUUUUUUUUGUGCUUUAGUUUGUUACCCCGGUGAAGUGGCGGAUAACAGUACUCCGUGACAAUCAAGUCGGUUACUUCAAUUUCCCAUAAUAACUGAUAUUCUGAGGCGAAGGUAUGGAUAGAAACGAGAUUUUAGCAAAGCUUCACAAGCGAUUCCCUUCACUUCCUCAGAAUGCCCUCCUUACAAUCUAUAAAGCCCGGUCUGAACGCAUGCGAUUGCUCAUGAGGAAUAACAUACCUGCAGACAUCCGUUGGUUAAUCGAGGCUAAAGUACGAUUGGUAGGUGAGUUACCUCCUAAAUUUAUUGCAUACAUGCCUGGUUGUGGUAAAGGAAAUUACGCAAGAAAACGACGAGCUCGAAGAAUUUCUGUUGCUUGUCACAAGUGUGCCAGAAUGAGUUGCGAUAGAAACCCAUGUUCUUUAGGAAUGGUGUCUGAUAACAGGGAAGAUAAGAUUCAAUUCAUUAGGGAUGGCUUGAAUAAGGAGUCAUUGGAUGAUAUCCUUUUGUCUCUUGAAACGCAUCCCAGUGGAUAUGUGCAAGGAGCGAUUCUCCGGUUAUGGCCAUUAUUCCAGAAAGAGCAUGCACGAUAUAGUCUCGGGAAUCUGACUAUAAACGACCCUGUUUGUCAGUUUAUAAGAAAACUGGAUGGGAAGCCGAUCCUCGACCCAUAGAGGGCGUUCAAGCCGUUUCUGGACGUAAAACCAGAGGAAGAUGUGAGCCACAGUCGCAACUACGUGUAAAUAUCCUUUUACUUUACUGUUAUUUUAUUUCAUUUCACUGUUGUUUUAUUGUUUGCAUUAUUGUCUUUAAUAAUUUUGUUACUAUUUGCUUUUUCCUUUUUACUGUUUCCUUUUUGACUCGCGAGCCACGUGCUUUACGCGUUAUUUGACACUAACAUGUUACCUCAUUCACAGCUGUGAUCCACUGUCACCAAGAUUCUUAAAUGUGAUUUAUCUUUUGUCAAGCACUCACAAAUUGUUUUUGAGAAGUAUCACAAUGGCAGCCACUCCCAAUAGACAAUUCAAGAACAUUUGUGUGCUUUCUGGAUUUACCUAUGGCAAACAUAAAGAGUUCGUGGAGGCAGCCAUAGAUCUUGGUCGAAGCAUAGCAGCGAGAAAAUUACACUUGGUGUAUGGAGGAGGUAACCGAGGAUUAUCAAUGGUCUCAGAAGCAGCUUUUAUCAGAGGAAGUCAAGUGUUAGGCAUCAUCCCAAGAGUCCUAAAACCAUUGGGCAGUUCGUCUGACUCAUCAACUGGAGAAGAGUUAGUCGUCUCAGGUAUGCAAGCAAGAAUAACUGAAAUGCUUAAUCAUGCUGAUGCUUUUAUUUUCCUUCCAGGAGAUCUUGCAACACUAGAGGCACUUAUGACACUAGCAUCUUGGGCCCAUCUGCACAUCCACCAGAAACCCAUCGGUUUGUUAAAUGUCAAUAACUUUUAUGAUGGCUUUAUCGUAUUUCUUAACCAUGCAAUAAAAAACUAUUUCAUUCCUUCUAAUGUGAAAAAACUCUUUAUUUGUGCUCACACUGCUAAUGAGCUACUUGAUAUGUUACAAGCUUAUAAACCGGAGCCAGACCCCUGGACCUUUGUGUUGGAGCGACCAAAUAAUGAUGGUAACAGUAGCCGCAGUAAGAAGUACAAAUUAGAUUUAACUCUCCGCCUGUAAAUAUUUUAUUCUGUGUUGCACCACCCAGGUGAUGUCUUCUAAACUCUACUUCUUUCCUUUAAAACAUUGAGGACAAUGUUUCGUUCUGGUUGGGGGGAGGGAAUAGUCGACAAUUGUGGAAUCUUGGUUAAGUUUUUACUGAUUUUUUGUUGUAGAAACUAACUGUUGCUAACGUUUUGUGUUGAAGAUGGCUGAAUAUGGAGUGUAGUUACUCUAGAAACGCAUCUUCUUAGUUAAAAAAAAAAAAAAAAAAUUAAUUUUCUACAUCAUUUUCACAUUUCUGCAUGCAUAUUUUCCUUUCAUGUUUAGAAUAGGUUGGGGGGUAGAAUGUUGUUAAAAAAAAAAAAAAUUUUGUGUUAUUUGUUUUAACAUUGGAUGACAUGAUUAAUUUCAAAUUUUAGUAUUUGUAUUAUCUUUGGUCUUAAGUGAUGUUACGCUAUGUUUGCUACUUUACAUGUUGAUGUCGGAGACAAAUAUGAGUUGCUUGAAGGAAUGAACAUGUCAUAAAUAAGUGCCAAGUGAGUUGUUGAGCCUAUCAUUUUCUUGGAGAGUAACCCUUUUGCCCAUUUUCUAUACAGCUUAGCAGUUUAUUAUUUUAUGCACGAUCUCUAGAUUUCUUUUGAGUUAACCCUUUAAAAAAAAAUGGUAAAAUUAAAAAAAAAGAAAAAAGAAAAAAUGUGUGUUACUACAUUGGGAGGCCCAUCUAACUAGUAGAUAUGAAUAAUUAUUUAGAGCCCUAAAAGACGAUGGAAAGGCCAUCUUUGAACCAUUUGAGCCUUUCUAGCCAUCCCUGUUAUUAAAUAUCCAUAGUUACCCAUUUUGAGCCUUUAAAAAAAAAAAAAAAAAAAAAAACCUUUUCUUUGUCAACUUAUCAUCUUGACCCACUCCGAUUUGGAGUAUUACCCGAUGUCUUAUAAGUUCCAUCACCUAUUUAUGUUUGAGAAAAUGUAAAUAAUUAUGUUGUUCAGUGAAGUUAUGCCAAAUAAAAGUAAAAAACAAAAAAACAAAAAAACAAAAGUUGUUGUUUCAAAAGAAUAAAAAUAACAACAAUAGGUGAAAUACACCUUGCAACUUCAAAAAAAAAAAAAAAAAUUUCUCUUCAUUUUUCUCAAACAUACACUUUGUUUUCCUUAUUUCCUUUCUUUGUUAGCCAUAUCCCUAGCCUACGUUACGUCCUAAUAAAAGUCCUUCUUGAUUUUAGGGAACUAUAGUUUGAAGUAGAAGCUAGUUAUAUGGGCUAAAAAGAUGUAGUGAUGCAUAAUAAAAAAAAAAAAAGAUAAAUAAAGUGGGUUGACUAACAUUUUAUUUGACUUGAGAUCGUAUUAUUUCUAAGCUGAGGGCAUAUUUAUUUCAUCUUGGUGAGAGCAUGUGAUAUCAUUUCUUUAUUAUUUUCUCUCUCAAUUACCAUUCAUUGGAGUGACUAUGUUUAUUGGGUUUUAAUUUCUUUGUGAGAGUGUCACUACUUCCAGUGAGAUUUUAGGGUUUGAUAUGUCAUUCUUGAAAGUAGCUAUAACCAAGUCUGCUGGGCUAAUUCAUGUGGAUGGUUGAUGUGGGUGUGAUGUUGCUUUAGACUGGAGAUAAUGCUUAUACUUUUAUUCGAUUACUAUCAUUAAUCUGAUUGAAUAAACACGAGUGUUUCUAAAAAAAAAAAAAAAAAAAUUUUGAAUUUGAAUUUUUUUUUCGCUUUAUUUGCUAGGGACUAGCAAUAAGCUGGUUGGGGGGUGUGUUGAGUGUUAGAAAAUGCAUAUUUAUAAAGGAGAAAACCGUCAUUUUACAUUUCAAGUCUUAUUAACAACCCUUACUUUUAUGUAUUUAACCUUCUUGUGAUUUAAUUACAUGUGUUUUAUUUUAAUUAAGUAUUUUAUGUAUUUUAGGGGCAUUAUAGUCAUUUCACAAUAAAGGAGAGAUCAGACGGCAAAACAGACAUCACUUUUGAACUCAGGACGGUCGAAAACCUUAGGAGGAGCAUAAAAGGAAAAAUGGCACUAUUCACAUGUACGGUACUAUUCACGGGUACGGUACUGUCUACGUUACUGUUCACGACACUGUUC